GCGGAAGUAGUUCAGUGGUAGAACACCACCUUGCCAAGGUGGGGGUCGCGGGUUCGAGUCCCGUCUUCCGCUCCA
rnacentral:tRNA from 78 species